rnacentral:piRNA from 1 species
UAGCUAAGUACACUUGAUAGAGAAGCA